AUCAUGUUGAAACACUGGUUCUCGUACGAUCACCGAAGUUAAGCAGCGUCAAACCCGAUCAGAAUUUAGAUGGGUGACCGCUUGGGAAUACCAGGUGCUGUAA